UCAAACUUGGUCAUUUAGAGGAAGUAAAAGUCGUAACAAGGUUUCCGUAGGUGAACCUGCGGAAGGAUCAUUAACGACUUUUGAAGGCGGAGGCCUGUUGCUGGUGCGGAAACGUUACAUGUGCACGGCCUUCGUGCUCGGUCCACUCAACCCCUGUGCACCCUGCGAAGCCAGUAGCUUCUCUCUGUAUCUGUCUUUCUGUUCUGUAUCCCCUUUGACUGUAUGUAUGGGCCUUGCUCCGUGUGGGGUUCAAGCUUGGUUGAAGGGGGGAGGUGCAGAGGGCAGUGCGAGGAAGGCGAACGCUUUGAUUCUUUUUACUACAAACCCACUGUAAUGUUGUGUUGAAUGUAAUGCUCCCUGUGAGCGAAACUAAUUACAACUUUCAACAACGGAUCUCUUGGCUCUCGCAUCGAUGAAGAACGCAGC
rnacentral:misc_RNA from 1 species